UUUGGUGGUCAUAGCACGAGCAAAACACCCGGCUCCAUUCCGAACCCGGCCGUUAAGUGCCGUCGCGCCAAUGGUACUGCGUCUCAAGACGUGGGAGAGUAGGUCGCCGCCAAAC
rfam:Roseivivax halodurans JCM 10272 contig89, whole genome shotgun sequence.